rnacentral:rRNA from 1 species
ACUUUGAUUCUGGCUCAGGAUAAACGCUGGCGGCGCACAUAAGACAUGCAAGUCGAACGGACUUAAUCCAUUCUUUUAGAUUGGAAGCGGUUAGUGGCGGACUGGUGAGUAACGCGUGAGCAACCUGCCUAUUAGAGGGGAAUAACAGUGAGAAAUCAUUGCUAAUACCGCAUAAGCUGAUAAUAUCGCAUGAUAAAGUCAGAAAAGGAGCAAUCCGCUAAUAGAUGGGCUCGCGUCUGAUUAGCUAGUUGGUGGGGUAACGGCCUACCAAGGCGACGAUCAGUAGCCGGACUGAGAGGUUGAACGGCCACGUUGGGACUGAGAUACGGCCCAGACUCCUACGGGAGGCAGCAGUCGGGAAUAUUGCGCAAUGGAGGAAACUCUGACGCAGUGACGCCGCGUAUGGGAAGAAGGUUUUCGGAUUGUAAACCAUUGUCGUUAGGGAAGAAGAAGUGACAGUACCUAAGGAGGAAGCUCCGGCUAACUAUGUGCCAGCAGCCGCGGUAAUACAUAGGGAGCGAGCGUUAUCCGGAUUUAUUGGGUGUAAAGGGUGCGUAGACGGGAAUUUAAGUUGGUUGUGAAAUCCCUCGGCUCAACCGAGGAACUGCAACCAAAACUGGAUUUCUUGAGUGCUGGAGAGGAAAGUGGAAUUCCUAGUGUAGCGGUGAAAUGCGUAGAUAUUAGGAGGAACACCGGUGGCGAAGGCGACUUUCUGGACAGUAACUGACGUUGAGGCACGAAAGUGGGGGGAGCAAACAGGAUUAGAUACCCUGGUAGUCCACACCGUAAACGAUGGAUACUAGGUGUAGGGUUUAGUAAAGACUCUGUGCCGUCGCAAACGCAAUAAGUAUCCCACCUGGGGAGUACGACCGCAAGGUUGCAACUCAAAGGAAUUGACGGA